AUUGCCCGCUGGCGGCAGGCCUAACACAUGCAAGUCGAACGAGUGGCGGACGGGUGAGUAAUGUAUGGGAAACUGCCUGAUGGAGGGGGAUAACUACUGGAAACGGUAGCUAAUACCGCAUAACAUCAGAUGUGCCCAGGUUGGAUGAGCUGGUUGGUGGGGUAACGGCUCACCAAGGCGAAGAUCCCUAGCUGGUCUGAGAGGAUGACCAGCCACACUGGAACUGAGACACGGUCCAGACUCCUACGGGAGGCAGCAGUGGGGAAUAUUUCACAAUGGGCGCAAGCCUGAUGCAGCCAUGCCGCGUGUAUGAAGAAGGCUUUCGGUUUGUAAAGUACUUUCGGCGGGGAGGCGUUACCCGCAGAAGAAGCACCGGCUAACUCCGUGCCAGCCGCCGCGGUAAUUC
rnacentral:rRNA from 1 species